rnacentral:rRNA from 1 species
CAGCAGCCACGGUAAUACGAAGGGUGCAAGCGUUAAUCGGAAUUACUGGGCGUAAAGCGUGCGUAGGCGGUGAGUUAAGUCUGCUGUGAAAUCCCCGGGCUCAACCUGGGAAUGGCGGUGGAUACUGGCUCGCUAGAGUGUGUCAGAGGAUGGUGGAAUUCCCGGUGUAGCGGUGAAAUGCGUAGAGAUCGGGAGGAACAUCAGUGGCGAAGGCGGCCAUCUGGGACAACACUGACGCUGAGCACGAAAGCGUGGGGAGCAAACAGGAUUAGAUACCCCCGUAGUCCCUGUCUCUUAUACA